GUUAGUUUUGACACUUCUAAUACAUGCCAUAUUCAAUUAUAUUGCCUUGCCGGCGACAACGGUGGGCAGAAAUACCCAAAUCAUACAAUUUCUUCCUUUGCAAAGAGUAUACACAGUGGCCACCCCUCCCUACUCCAUCCCAACUAUGCCAUCCAUCCUACACGCACGCGCAUUGUUUUCCCUCAAUUUUUACCUCACACAAACACAAAGAUUUGCAAAGUGUUUCCAAUCCAAUUUGCCAAACAGGAGGGUUAUGACUCAUCAGCCGA